GGUUCUAUGGCCUAAUGGUUAGAACUAUGGACUCUGAAUCUAGCAAUCCGAGUGUAAAUCUAGGUAGGACCA
rnacentral:tRNA from 1 species